UUCACCUCAAGAAAACCACCGCCAGGAAGCCUCGUCGCCCUCGCCGGUGAACGAUCAUCCGGAUCACCUGCCUCCGUUAUGAUUGAUGAGGAAGUCCCCGAUCUCGAAUCUGAGGACCGUGGGAUCUCCGGGGGAGGGCCGAUGAUGUAGGUGGGUUCGAGGAAUGUGGGUUAGGGUUGGAUGCGAGGAUGAUGGGUGUUACUCAUGGUUUGUGUUAUUGUGAGUAUUUGUCAUCCCCAACUUUUCAGAUGUAUCUAUUGUGAUGGCGUGGCAUGAGAUGCAGAGAUUAGGUCUAUCGUUUGGGAAUUUGUCAUGACAAGGUAUGAUCACAAAUCAACGAGAUUCGUUUCUUCGGAAGCUCCAACUUUGCUCUAUUAAUCACUGCUAAGGACAUCUGCUACACGUUCAUUCUAGCCAAUCCAAAGACUCAGUGUCCUAAAUAGAGUUAUAGCGAGGUCUAUGAGAAACUCAGGAUAUCUGAAGUCAGACUUUGGAAGUAAUGCAGUCUAUGCUGGAUGGUGAUUCCUAUUUCCACUCCUUACAGAGAUACUUGGAAUAAGAUGAGUAAUGUCUGCCUUUUGUAUUUCCCUUGAUGAUUUGUACAAUGAUACCAAUAUCUCUUUUUGAUUUUCACAAGUAUAUAAAAGCUUUAUUGUUCAUAUGAGAUAGACAAAUAAUGAGGGAAAAUUUACUGAUGCUGUAAUUUCUGCUGAUAAAUCAAUAAUGGCUGUUGGAAUUUUCUUUUGCUACUUCUCUUAUCAACAUCUUUAAUAUAAUACUGAACCUUCACAUGAUGUUCCUUUGAUUCCUUUCUAUGUGUCCUUUAUUCCCUUAAUUUUGAUUAUUCUGCAUUUUUUUAACAUUUUAGUCCACGAAAUGCUCUUAGGUUAGAAGACCAUGCAACUGACAUGAUUUUGCCUUCAUACCAUUUACCAUCUGUUAUAGCCCCUUUUAUGCUUCAAGCAAGUAAUGGAUUUGUUACACUGAAAAUGUUCUUGACUGUUUCUAUUGGCAAAACUUGAUUAGAAUCCUGCCUCACAUUUGCUCUUUUGGUCCUUUAUUUAAUGUUUGUUUUCUUUCAUUUUUAGUGUCAUAAAUAUUGCUUUGCUGUUUGUAUAAAAGGUUUGUGCUGCUCUAUCUAUGCCUUUGUUUUGUUUUGAACUAUUGUUCUUGAUCUCCUCUCUUGUAUAUGUUAUGCCUCAAUUGAACAUGUUGAAAUUUUAUCUUUUAGUGGAAAGCUACGACUAGUUAAUUUUUGUUCCGCACAAAAAUGAUUGUCCUUUUGUUUUCCCCACAUAUGGAGAUGGUUGUAAAAAAUUAGUAAGCUGUGGUGGAGAAAUAAACUGGGUUUUUAGAAAUGUCUUUGAGGUAAGUUACAUUCACAAGCCGAGAUGUCUAGAAGUUCAGUGUAUAGCAUAUCACUUGGUAAAUUUUGCCUAGCAUCCAGACUACCUGUUGCUUUCUAAGCACCCCCAAGGAGGCCUUUCCUGACGUCAGGAACUCAGGAAAUAAGGUUGGUGUGCACUCCUUUAACCACCACAAGUAAGGCCUCUCAGUUGCUUCUGGCAAUGUCUAGGCAGGUUAAAGAGUCAGUCAGGCCCAAGCUUUAGUUUGCUAUAAUAUUAUCGAUUGCUUCCUGAUCCUGUUGAUCAGCAUUAUAGUUGGUACCAUUGGUGUAACACAUUUUCCAUUGCUAACCACAUCAGUUAUUGCUUGUUUAAUUUCUUGAGGUUGAUCCUGUCUUUGGUUGAGGAGUCAUUUGAUGCAGAAUGUAACUUGCCUGGUCCUAGUGAUACUGCUUUUCAAACUGAUAGGUUGGCUUAAUGAUGCAACUACUUUUGCCCCCGUAAGAACCUUAACAUGAUUCCGUCUCAAGUUGAGGGGCCAUUUGACAGAGAAGCUUGGGAUGCAAAAAUCAAUCUUGCACUAUUGUGUCACAGUUCAUAUGGGGUUCUGAGUUGAACAAUCGAGAGGUACGUUCGUGAAGGGACAUUGUAACCUUUCUUAGCUGGAUUUUUGACAAAGGGUUCUUGUGCACGAAAUGAGCAGUUAUUAACAUUAAUUGUGAUAGCUUAUGUCAAACUGAUCUUCUAGGUUGAGAAGUGUAAGUUUGAGUUGAUGGUAAAUGAUGAGACCAUUAAGGUUUGGCAAUCAUCAAAUUAUCUAUAUUCUUUUGUUAUGUCGUCCUUCAAUCAUGGAGCUUGGUGGUCGCACUGGUAAGGUUUGUUUGUUUAAUACGGGCCAAGACCAUGAUGAGGUUAUUAGGAUUGCAAGCGAGUGAAGUUUGGUAGGAGAAUGCGAGUUUUUAGCCAAGCUUGAUGUCUGAAAUCGGCUUUGAUUUCAGGGAAGUUCAAGUUAAGUUUAGGCCUAGCUCAACAAGAGUGUGUUUAAACUUUUUUGACUUAUCAAAUAAGUGGAGCUGGAGCUUAUGUAUGAAAUGACACAAGUUCGGACUGUGUAAAGAUCUAGUUAUUAUUUAAACCAAAAAAAGUUACCAAAAUUUAACUAAUUUAAUCUGGGUAAAUUUAUAUUAUUUAAUGGGAAAUAAACAAAAAUGUAAAAAUAACUAAUACAUAGGAUCCAUAAUCUACUGUAAUAAAAAAAGAUGAUCUGUCAUGCAUUCUCAUCAAUUCUUCCUUUAUAGUUUCAACAUAAUUUAUAUUGAUUGAUAUCUCACUUUUAAAGAUUCGCAAAAAAUAAAUAUGAGCUUGAUCCACUUGUACAAAAAAAAAAAAGUUUUAAAUUAUUUAAUCAAUAGUAAUGACAUGUCUAGGUAGAU